GCGCCUUUCCCUUCGCGGAAUGCUAGAAAAGCAGACAGUACGAAGUCCAGUUUUAUGACGUUGCAGCUGGAUAAGGAAACGAGCAAAGCAGCGUUGAGGAGGAGACAAAAAAAGUAGAGUAGUGUUGAGUUUGAAGAUAUAUGGUUGAUAUCUAGAAGUCUCAAGCCAUAAACACUAUGGAUCCACCCACAGACCAGCAGGCAUCCACUUUCAGUAUCAACUCCCUUAAGCUUUGAAUUUACUCCUUGGUCUGAACAGCAAGUCAACACCACGGUCCUACCUUGAAGGGUCUUCUGCCAAGGAGAAGGCUCCACCGAUGCUGACUACAUUCCUUCUAUUCUCAUACCCACCAUAGCUGAGGGUCACCUGGGGAACAGAGGCAAUUAUCAC